CCUACGGGGGGCAGCAGUGAGGAAUAUUGGUCAAUGGGCGUAAGCCUGAACCAGCCAAGUCGCGUGAGGGAUGAAGGUUCUAUGGAUCGUAAACCUCUUUUAUAAGGGAAUAAAGUGUGGGACGUGUCCUAUUUUGUAUGUACCUUAUGAAUAAGGAUCGGCUAACUCCGUGCCAGCAGCCGCGGUAAUACGGAGGAUCCGAGCGUUAUCCGGAUUUAUUGGGUUUAAAGGGGGCGUAGGCGGCCUUUUAAGUCAGCGGUGAAAGUUUGUGGCUCAACCAUAAAAUUGCCGUUGAAACUGGGAGGCUUGAGUAUGUUUGAGGCAGGCGGAAUGCGUGGUGUAGCGGUGAAAUGCUUAGAUAUCACGCAGAACCCCGAUUGCGAAGGCAGCCUGCCAAGCCGUGACUGACACUGAUGCACGAAAGCGUGGGGAUCAAACAGGAUUAGAUACCCCUGUAGUC
rnacentral:rRNA from 1 species